UGGCCUACGGGGGGCAGCAGUGGGGAAUCUUGCGCAAUGGGCGAAAGCCUGACGCAGCCAUGCCGCGUGAAUGAUGAAGGUCUUAGGAUUGUAAAAUUCUUUCACCGGGGACGAUAAUGACGGUACCCGGAGAAGAAGCCCCGGCUAACUUCGUGCCAGCAGCCGCGGUAAUACGAAGGGGGCUAGCGUUGCUCGGAAUUACUGGGCGUAAAGGGCGCGUAGGCGGACAUUUAAGUCAGGGGUGAAAUCCCAGAGCUCAACUCUGGAACUGCCUUUGAUACUGGGUGUCUUGAGUGUGAGAGAGGUAUGUGGAACUCCGAGUGUAGAGGUGAAAUUCGUAGAUAUUCGGAAGAACACCAGUGGCGAAGGCGACAUACUGGCUCAUUACUGACGCUGAGGCGCGAAAGCGUGGGGAGCAAACAGGAUUAGAUACCCCAGUAGUCCU
rnacentral:rRNA from 1 species